UAAUACGUAGGGAGCGAGCGUUGUCCGGAUUUACUGGGCGUAAAGGGCGCGUAGGCGGUCUGUUAAGUAUGAAGUGAAAUCUCCAGGGCUCAACCCGGAAACCGCUUUGUAAACUGGCAGACUGGAGGAAGGCAGAGGUGAGUGGAAUUCCCGGUGUAGCGGUGACAUGCAUUGAUAUCGGGAGGAACACCCAUGGCGAAGGCAGCUCACUGGGCCUUUCCUGACGCUGAGGCGCGAAAGCGUGGGUAGCAAACAGAAUUAGAUACUCUGGUAGUCCACGCCCUAAACGAUGGAUGCUAGGCGUGAGGGGUAUCGACCCCCCUUGUGCCGCAGCUAACGCAUUAAGCAUCCCGCCUGGGGAGUACGGCCGCAAGGUUG
rnacentral:rRNA from 1 species